rnacentral:piRNA from 1 species
GAAUGAAUGAAUGCAUAAUGUGA